CAUAUUGUAGUUGUGCGUCGCAUUCUGCUUUGGUGCGACGCACAUUCGUGACAACUAUCUGCGUCGCACGUCCAUAAGGUGCGUUGGAAAUUAUAUCAUAGGCGUCGGACUCAAGCCCAUGCGACGCACAUCUUAGUUUGGCCCAUGCGCGUCUUAUUAUCUCCCAUCUCCCUCUCCUAAAACUCAUUAUCUCAUCAAGCCAGCGCGUCUCAUUAUCUCCCUCUCCUAAAACUCCCCAACUCCCCAUCUCCCCAUCUCCCUCUAACCUAAAAGUCUCUCUGAAGUCUGAACAUUGCUUCUCUCUCUCCCUCCCUCCCUCUCUCUCUCCUUCACUCGAAGCUUCGAAAAACCCUUCGAAGAUCUGACGAAAAAAGCGUGGUGAAGCUUCGAAGGAAAAACCUUAUAGAUCUGAAAUAAUUUCGCUUUUUUCGACGUUCUUCAUCUCUAACAGGUUCGAUUUUUUUAAUUUUUGUAUGAUAAGAAACGCAAAAUCAGAGAAGCUCUUGAAGAGGGGAAGCCAAUUCCGACGGAGUUGAGAAAUGAAGAAGCAUCGCUCCGCCAAGAAAUCGACCUCGAAGAUGAUUACACUGCUAGUAUGUACAUUUUUCAUCUCAGCAUCUGAAAGUGACUGAAAUAAUUUGGCUUUCUUUGCCGUUCUCCAUCUCCAAUAGGUUCGAAUUUUUAAAAUUUUUUGUAUUUGAUUUUUUUUGUUGACACUUUUCUAGAUCUGAAAGAUAAUGGCGUUUUUUUAUUUUUUUAUAUUUGAUUUUUAACAGAAGAGUGCGACUAUUGACGAUGAAGAUUGAAGAAUAUUUUUUAUUUUUUUGGAUCUAUGUAAAAGUUGUAAUAAAUUGUAAAUUUUAAUGUUUGGAUAUUAAAUUUUAGGGUUUUUUUGUGUGUUAGAUCUAAUUUUUUUGGUUUCAAAUUGUAUAAUAAUAAUGUUCCUUAAUCGUU